GACGAACGCUGGCGGCGUGCUUAACACAUGCAAGUCGAACGGAAAGGCACUGCUUUUGUGGGGUGCUCGAGUGGCGAACGGGUGAGUAACACGUGAGUAACCUGCCCUUGACUUUGGGAUAACUUCAGGAAACUGGGGCUAAUACCGGAUAGGAGCCCCUGCUGCAUGGUGGGGGUUGGAACGUUUCGGCGGUUGGGGAUGGACUCGCGGCUUAUCAGCUUGUUGGUGGGGUAGUGGCUUACCAAGGCUUUGACGGGUAGCCGGCCUGAGAGGGUGACCGGGCACAAUGGGACUAAGAUAGGGCCCAGACUCCUACGGGAGGCAGCAGUGGGGAAUAUUGCACAAUGGGCGGAAGCCGGAUGCAGCAACGCCGCGGGCGGGAUGACGGCCUUCGGGUUGUAAACCGCUUUCGCUUGUGACGAAGCGGGAGUGACGGUAAUGGGUAAAGAAGCACCGGCUAACUACGUG
rnacentral:rRNA from 1 species